rnacentral:rRNA from 1 species
AUUGAACGCUGGCGGCAUGCCUUACACAUGCAAGUCGAACGGUAACGGGCCUUCGGGUGCCGACGAGUGGCGAACGGGUGAGUAAUACAUCGGAACGUGCCCGAUCGUGGGGGAUAACGAGGCGAAAGCUUUGCUAAUACCGCAUACGAUCUACGGAUGACAGCAGGGGACCGCAAGGCCUUGCGCGGACUGAGCGGCCGAUGGCAGAUUAGGUAGUUGGUGGGAUAAAAGCUUACCAAGCCGACGAUCUGUAGCUGGUCUGAGAGGAUGAUCAGCCACACUGGGACUGAGACACGGCCCAGACUCCUACGGGAGGCAGCAGUGGGGAAUUUUGGACAAUGGGCGCAAGCCUGAUCCAGCCAUGCCGCGUGCAGGAUGAAGGCCUUCGGGUUGUAAACUGCUUUUGUACGGAACGAAAAGCCUUCUUUUAAUACAGGAGGGUCAUGACGGUACCGUAAGAAUAAGCACCGGCUAACUACGUG